CCUACGGGUGGCAGCAGUGAGGAAUAUUGGUCAAUGGACGAAAGUCUGAACCAGCCAAGCCGCGUGAAGGAAGACGGCUCUAUGAGUUGUAAACUGCUUUUAUACAAGGAUAAAACUGCAUACGUGUAUUUAGUUGCAAGUACUGUACGAAUAAGGAUCGGCUAACUCCGUGCCAGCAGCCGCGGUAAUACGGAGGAUCCGAGCGUUAUCCGGAUUUAUUGGGUUUAAAGGGUGCGUAGAAGGGUUGUUAAGUUAGUGGUGAAAUUUCCGAGCUUAACCCUGGAACUGCAACUGAUACUGGCAGUCUAGAGAGCAGUUGCGGUAGGCGGAAUGUGUGGUGUAGCGGUGAAAUGCUUAGAUAUCAUGCAGAACCCCGAUUGCGAAGGCAGCUUACCAAUCUAUAACUGACAUUGAUGCACGAAAGCGUGGGUAUCAAACAGGAUUAGCUACCCGUGUAGUC
rnacentral:rRNA from 1 species